UGUCCGUGUUAACUGUGCAAACGGGGCGCCCUGUGCCCCACGAUAGCCACUCAGAGUGCGAGAACAGCUGGGGGCGGGGAGAGGGGAGGGGAGCAGAGGCAGAGGCUGGAGGAGAAGCGGUCAGAGCGAGGAGCUUCGGGCGCUGUCCCAGGGAAGCCACCCAAGGCCACGGAGAGAUGUGAGGGUGGAAGGUGAGGACAGCCCCCGCACGCGUGGGCUCGAGUGAGUGCUAGUUUAGGAUUACAAAGCGGAAAGAGCCCAGAAAGAUAAAAACUGCCGGCGGACACAGCAGAGGAACUGAAAAACUCCUCGCGCGCCUCUGUCUUCCUUGAAAUGCCCUAGAGCUUCCAGUCUUGGGCUGAGCCGCAGGUGGCCUCGGCCCGGAUGCCGUGUGUGCCGCUGCAGCAGAGGGGCCAAGAGGAAGCAAGCAGGGAGCACAAUCAGCGCCCUCAGCUCCUCCUCACAGGAGCAAAAGCAACCUGGCCCAACUCUUCACGGGAGGCCAGCCCACGUGACUGGCUUUGGCCAAAGGGGCUGCUAAUGACGGGGACACGCAGAGGCUUGAAGGGCACUGAAGGGAUGAAGCUUUCACCGCUAGCACCUGUGCUCCUGCCCUGAGAGCAAGCCCAGGCCAGACCAAGGCGGAGCGGAUGGUGACACCAGUCGCCCGCAUGGACCCAGACCGGGCUGUGGAUCCUUGUGUGUCAGUUUCACUGGAUUUAGAGAUGCCC
rnacentral:lncRNA from 1 species